GGCUUCAAAAUUGGUGGCAUGUUCCAGAAUCCUUUCUUUCAGAGCUACAAGAAGUGGAAUUUCAGGCUCCUCUUCAUUUGUUAUCUGUUUGUAUAACUGAUCGGAGUCGGUGAAAGCUCGAAUACAGCGGAUGCCAUUCUGCAUGGCCUCCACCAGACCAUCCAUUAGAGCUAAAUAAUCAGCAACUAACUCAUCAACAUAAAAAUCAAGCUUUUUCUGG
rnacentral:misc_RNA from 1 species